CCUACGGGGGGCUGCAGUGGGGAAUAUUGCACAAUGGGCGCAAGCCUGAUGCAGCGACGCCGCGUGAGCGAUGAAGGCCUUCGGGUCGUAAAGCUCUGUCCUAAGGGAAGAAUAAUGACGGUACCUUAGGAGGAAGCCCCGGCUAACUACGUGCCAGCAGCCGCGGUAAUACGUAGGUGGCAAGCGUUGUCCGGAUUUACUGGGCGUAAAGAGUAUGUAGGCGGAUAUUUAAGUCAGAUGUGAAAUUCCCGGGCUUAACCUGGGCGCUGCAUUUGAUACUGGAUAUCUAGAGUGUGGGAGAGGAAAGCGGAAUUCCUAGUGUAGCGGUGAAAUGCGUAGAGAUUAGGAAGAACACCAGUGGCGAAGGCGGCUUUCUGGACCAUAACUGACGCUGAGAUACGAAAGCGUGGGGAGCAAACAGGAUUAGAUACCCGGGUAGUC
rnacentral:rRNA from 1 species